GAUGAACGCUGGCGGCGUGCCUAAUACAUGCAAGUCGAGCGAACGGACGAGAAGCUUGCUUCUCUGAUGUUAGCGGCGGACGGGUGAGUAACACGUGGAUAACCUACCUAUAAGACUGGGAUAACUUCGGGAAACCGGAGCUAAUACCGGAUAAUAUUUUGAACCGCAUGGUUCAAAAGUGAAAGACGGUCUUGCUGUCACUUAUAGAUGGAUCCGCGCUGCAUUAGCUAGUUGGUAAGGUAACGGCUUACCAAGGCAACGAUGCAUAGCCGACCUGAGAGGGUGAUCGGCCACACGAGAACUGAGACACGGUCCAGACUCCUACGGGAGGCAGCAGUAGGGAAUCUUCCGCAAUGGGCGAAAGCCUGACGGAGCAACGCCGCGUGAGUGAUGAAGGUCUUCGGAUCGUAAAACUCUGUUAUUAGGGAAGAACAGAUGUGUAAGUAACUGUGCACAUCUUGACGGUACCUAAUCAGAAAGCCACGGCUAACUACGUG
rnacentral:rRNA from 1 species